CAAUAGCGUAUAUUAACGUUGUUGCAGUUAAAAAGCUCGUAGUUGGAUUUCUGGAGGGAGCGUCGGCCCGUAUUUACGAGUGCGUGACGUCUCUGUCCAUCCUUGCGGGAAGGCACGGCAUUGAUUUGUUGUGUCGGAUCGCAUCAUUUACUGUGAAAAAAUUAGAGUGUUCAAAGCAGGCUUUCGCUUGAAUACAUUAGCAUGGAAUAAUAAGAUAGGACCUUGGUGCUAUUUUGUUGGUUGAGCCUAAAGUAAUGAUUAAUAGGGAUAGUUGGGGGCACCUGUAUUGCGUUGUCAGAGGUGAAAUUCUUGGAUUUACGCAAGACAAACAGCUGCGAAAGCGUCUGCCAAGGAUGUUUUCAUUAA
rnacentral:rRNA from 1 species